CAGCAUGUCCUCCUCACAUUCUUCCACCAGAGAAGAGGCCCCCUGAACCCCCUGGACCUCCACCGCCGCCACCUCCACCCCCUCUGGUUGAAGGCGAUCUUUCCAGCGCCCCCCAGGAGUUGAAUCCCGCCGUGACAGCCGCCUUGCUGCAACUUUUAUCCCAGCCUGAAGCAGAGCCUCCUGGCCACCUGCCACAUGAGCACCAGGCCUUGAGACCAAUGGAGUACUCCACUCGAUCCCAUCCAAACAGGACUUACGGAAAUACUGAUGGGCCUGAAACAGGGUUCAGUGCCACUGACACUGAUGAACGCAGUUCUGGUCCAGCCUUGACAGAAUCUUUGGUUCAGACCCUGGUGAAGAACAGGACCUUCUCAGGCUCUGUGAGCCACCUUGGGGAGUCCAACAGUUACCAGGGCACAGGAUAGCUGCAGCAGGGACGACCUUUGAAUAACUCGGGGACAUCCAUCAGUUAACCUUGCAUCCAGAACCUCUGGAACAAUCUCAUCCACAGUACCUGAAGCCAGGUUCAGUGGAAAAUUCCGCCUAUCCAAAUACUUCAUGAGACACCAAAAUUAGAGGCCUGUACCUCUAUCUUCAUUACCCAGAGCCAGCAUCUCUACCUUCCUUCCCUGCUAGAUGUGGAAGCCAAGACCAAGGAGAAACCAAUUGAAUCCUGCCCUGAAGUUGCUUUAUGUUCUGGAUUUGGAGAGCAUGGGGCAAGACAAAGUAGUGCCCACAGAAGUCAGCUGUCAUCAGAUUUCCUGAAACCGGAGUUAGAGAUGGUUAUAAGGUGCCAUGUGGGUGAUGAGAGGCAGCCCAGAUCCUCUGCAAGAGUGGCAAGAACUGCUAACCACUGAGCCAUCUCUCCAGCACCUGAAGUCGUUUCAAAGAUGCCAUGACUCCCUGAAGAUUAUUUUCAUGUGUGUGUGUCCAUCCAUCCGUGUGUACGUACAAACUCUGGAGAUUGUCCAGACAUUUCUUCAUGACAGAAGGAAAGACAGUCUCCUGGAAGAGGAAGUAGCCACAGCCCCUCUUUUCAGACUCCCUAAGAAAUCAGUUUCCCAACUUCUGCCUCUCUAGUCAAGAGAAAGCUACUCUUCCAGAGCAUGUGUAAGUCACUGUUCUGCUUGCAAGAAUAGCUACAUCCAGAAUAGAUUUGAAAGCAGUAGCCCUUAGGAGGUAUAGCAACUGGCACCUAUCUGCCAUUUUAGUUUGUCAAAUAUCUUUACCUCAUUGUUUUUCUGUGCACCAAGCAUUGUACUGUGUGCAGUUUGUAUAUAUGUUUAAAGUCUAUAAAGUAUUACUGUAUUACCUAGACAUACUGAAAUAAAGGGCUGUUUUGUAUUGUUUU
rnacentral:lncRNA from 1 species